rnacentral:piRNA from 1 species
GACAUUAGCUUUCUGUCUGCUCGGUGUGA